AGAGUUUGAUCAUGGCUCAGGAUGAACGCUAGCGGCAGGCUUAACACAUGCAAGUCGAGGGGCAGCACGGGUAGCAAUAUCUGGUGGCGACCGGCGCAAGGGUGCGUAACGCGUGAGCAACAUGCCCGUAUCAGGGGAAUAAUCCAGGGAAACUUGGUCUAAUACCCCAUAGUAAAUAUUAAAGGCAUCUUUAAUAUUUUAAAGCUUUGGUGGAUACGGAUUGGCUCGCGUGACAUUAGCUAGAUGGUAAGGUAACGGCUUACCAUGGCUACGAUGUCUAGGGGUUCUGAGAGGAAGAUCCCCCACACUGGAACUGAGACACGGUCCAGACUCCUACGGGAGGCAGCAGUGAGGAAUAUUGGACAAUGGAUGGAAAUCUGAUCCAGCCAUGCCGCGUGCAGGAAGACGGCCCUAUGGGUUGUAAACUGCUUUUAUAUGGGAGCAAUAAGGCCUACGUGUAGGUCGAUGAGAGUACCAUAUGAAUAAGCACCGGCUAACUCCGUGCCAGCAGCCGCGGUAAUACGGAGGGUGCAAGCGUUAUCCGGAUUUAUUGGGUUUAAAGGGUGCGUAGGCGGUUUGAUAAGUCAGCGGUGAAAUAUUUCAGCUUAACUGGAAGGGUGCCGUUGAUACUGUCAGGCUUGAAUUUAGUUGCUGUGGGUGGAAUGUGUGGUGUAGCGGUGAAAUGCAUAGAUAUCACACAGAAUAUCGAUUGCGAAGGCAGCUCACAAAGCUAAAAUUGACGCUGAUGCACGAAAGUGUGGGGAUCAAACAGGAUUAGAUACCCUGGUAGUCCACACUGUAAACGAUGAUAACCCGCUGUCGGCGAUACAUAGUCGGUGGCCAAGCGAAAGCGAUAAGUUAUCCACCUGGGGAGUACGACCGCAAGGUUGAAACUCAAAUGAAUUGACGG
rnacentral:rRNA from 1 species